AACCUAAAUUUAAAACCUCAUCACUCGCCUGAUCCGAUCCGGCCCAAACAUUAUUCCUCCACUUAUCCAGCAUACACCGACAACAACUUCAACAUCGGCAAAAACAUACAAACAACAUCUCACCAUACAACCCAACAUUUCCAUCAAACAACAGCCUCAAACGAUGCCCCAACACCAUCAAAACCUCAUGGGGUUUUGUCAGAAACUCCAUUUAAUUCCCUCAAAGCUUCUAGGAAUGCAACACCUCGUCGAAGCCAGCAUUCAAAUCCCUUAAGGUGUAGCAAAAUUCCAGCAAUCUAGUACUAUACAGUACAUACAUGAACCAUGCUCAUUGGUUUGGACUUUUCCCAAAUUCCCAAAUUUUUAUUUUACCCUAAUUGAAUUGCAAGUGUGUGGGAAUACACUAGGUUUGUUGUUGUUGUUUGUUGUUGUUGUUGUUGAAUCGCAAGUGUCCAAUUGCCCACGAUUUUGUGCCCUAUAGUACUAACGUGGCUCAAUUAGGUAGAAUUCAAUUCGAUUUUCAAAAACCCUUAUCCAAAAAGACAUAAGUCCCUAAUCUACACCUUUGUUUCCACCCAAAAUGCCCCGCCUUUCUUUUAUAUAUAAAUUGGCAGUGAGUUAAAGGCUGAAGGAAGAGUGAUUUUUGGAAAAAAAAUUAAAAAUUCGAGAGGCGCAUGCUCCUAUCGGACAAAACCAAAACUCACGAAGAAAUAUAUUCAAAUUUCGGAAAUAAAUUGUGGAUCUUCGACGAGUCUGAAUUUGAACUCUGGUGAAAUAAAUUUGAUAAUACAGUUUCGGUGGAAGUUUCGUCUCUGAAAACUUGUAUUCCCAAUGUGCUGCUUUAGAAAAGGUAUGGAUUAACCAAUCCCAUAAGAGGAUUCAAGAUAAUGAUUAAGUCGAACGAUUGGUGGAAAUAUAUGAGUGCGCAAGACGGUAAAAUCCUUAUAAUGCAUAUCGGAUAUUUGUCUUUCCUUGGAAGCUUUAAUUUUGUAGAAGACAUCCGAUCACCAACAGGUAUCGUGUAUGGCAUGAGGUGGGUUUACCCAAGAAGGCGAAGGCCGACAAGGGAUCAUUCGGAUACUAGUGUUUUCUAUUGUCAACUUUGUGAGUUUGUUUUCCUCGCAUUUUAUUUUUCCUUUCCCCAAAGAUUAUAUUCCCCAUUUGCUAUUCUGUAGGCAUUUAUGCCUUUUUUGAUAUUUAUGAAAAUUAUUUCUGAAUUCAUCAUAAGUAUGGAAACUGUAAAUCAAUUACAUCUAAA